CCUACGGGAGGCAGCAGUGAGGAAUAUUGGGCAAUGGAGGCAACUCUGACCCAGCCAUGCCGCGUGCAGGAUGACGGCCCUAUGGGUUGUAAACUGCUUUUAUACAGGAAGAAACCACUCUACGUGUAGAGUGCUGACGGUACUGUAAGAAUAAGCACCGGCUAACUCCGUGCCAGCAGCCGCGGUAAU
rnacentral:rRNA from 1 species